AACCAGCCCAUACGAAGUGAUGAAUAUACCGUAGCUCAUGCCUCGUAGAGAGAAGAAACCAGUUCUUCCGUCUUCGCCUCUUCCCCAGUUGGCAGUUCCCCUAAACGGCUAAACCAGUUCUUCGCCUCUUCCAACAUCUAGUAUUGUAAUCUCCAUCUGAAUGUCAAGAUCUCUAUUUUCAUUCAGACAAAAGGAGAGAUAGCAUCAUGGCAGCUAAAGUGGAAAGCAUGAAAUCCAUUAUUUGGAGUUGAAUCAAGAAAGGUGUACUGAAUCUUGUUAGUGGAAUUGUUGGAUUGCACAUUGUGUCUUGGCACUUUAUAGGAGCAAAAAGCUUGGAAAGAGUGAUUUUGUUGCAUUCCAGUAUGCUUAGGUAUCUCAAAAGAAAAUCACCUCCUCCACAAAGAGGUGAUAUUUCUUCUUCUACCAAGCAAAAAUGCCCGGAAAUCAACUUAGAGGAUCUUCCUUCAGAUCCUGGACUACGACCUCGAAUUUUGGAUUAUCAUCCUAACAAUCGAGAUCAAGUCCGUAGAGCAUAUUUGCAAAGGGGUCCUUGCCAACCUCUUAACCAUGAUUUUCCACUGACAAAAUCUGGACAACAACAAAGACGAUUUAACCAGGCUUGGUUUACUGAAUUCCCUACCUGGUUGGAGUAUAGUGUAUCUAAAGAUGUUGCAUAUUGUCUAUGUUGUUAUCUUUUCAAACAAGAUAUUGGACGUCAAGCUGGUGGUGAUCAUUUUGUGGGUGAAGGCUUUUCAAAUUGGAAGAGUUAUAAAAAAUUAGCUCUUCAUGUGGGAGGUCCCAAUAGUGCACAUAAUAAGGCUUGGGGGAAAUGUCAAGAUUUGAUGAAUCAAAAGCAACAUAUUGAGACCAUUGUUUGUAGGCAAUCAGAUCAAGCUCGAGCUGAAUAUAGACUACGCUUGAAUACUACAAUUGAGGUUGCUCGAUAUCUUUCAGUACAAGGAUUGGCAUUCCGUGGUCAUGAUGAAAGUGAAAGUUCAUCUAAUCCAGGGAAUUUUAUUUAACUUUUGAGGGCCUUUGGCAAAAUUAAUGAAGAUGUCAAAGCAUCAACUUUUGAAAAUGCUCCACAGAAUCAAAAGUUGACAGCUCCAAAUAUUCAGAAGGAUAUUGUAAAUGCAUUUGCAAUGGAAACUUUAAAAAACAUUAUUGGUGAUC